rnacentral:rRNA from 1 species
UGGGUUAAGUCCCGCAACGAGCGCAACCCUUAUCCUUGUUGCCAGCGGUCCGGCCCGGGGAAACUCAAAGGAGACUGCCAGUGAUAAACUGGAGGAAGGUGGGGAUGACGUCAAGUCAUCAUGGCCCUUACGACCAGGGCUACACACGUGCUACAAUGACGCAUACAAAGAGAAGCGACCUCGCGAGAGCAAGCGGACCUCAUAAAGUGCGUCGUAGUCCGGAUUGGAGUCUGCAACUCGACUCCAUGAAGUCGGAAUCGCUAGUAAUCGUGGAUCAGAAUGCCACGGUGAAUACGUUCCCGGGCCUU